CCUACGGGAGGCAGCAGUGAGGAAUAUUGGUCAAUGUACGCAAGUCUGAACCAGCCAUGCCGCGUGCAGGAAGACGGCUCUAUGAGUUGUAAACUGCUUUUGUACGAGGGUAAACGCAGAUACGCGUAUCUGUCUGAAAGUAUCGUACGAAUAAGGAUCGGCUAACUCCGUGCCAGCAGCCGCGGUAAUACGGAGGAUUCAAGCGUUAUCCGUAUUUAUUGGGUUUAACGGGUGCGUAGGCGGUCGGAUAAGUUAGAGGGGAAAUCCCGAGGCUCAACUUCGGAAUUGCCUCUGAUACUGUUCGGCUAGAGAGUAGUUGCGGUAGGCGGAAUGUAUGGUGUAGCGGUGAAAUGCUUAGAGAUCAUACAGAACACCGAUUGCGAAGGCAGCUUACCAAGCUACUUCUGACGUUGAGGCACGAAAGCGUGGGGAGCAAACAGGAUUAGAUACCCCAGUAGUC
rnacentral:rRNA from 1 species